rnacentral:tRNA from 1 species
UGGGGCUAUAGCUCAGUUGGUAGAGCGCCUCCUUGGCGUGGAGGAGGUCAGGGGUUCGACUCCCCUUAGCUCCACCAA